GAACGCACAUUGCGCCCGCCAGCAUUCUGGCGGGCAUGCCUGUCCGAGCGUCAUUUCAACCCUCAGGGUCCCCCCGCCUCGCGCGGUCGGAGCCUGGUGUUGGGGAUCGGCCCGCCCCGCGCGGCGCCGUCCCCCAAAUACAGUGGCGGUCCCGCCGCAGCCUCCCCUGCGCAGUAGUUAUCAACUCGCACUGGAGCGCGGCGCGGCCACGCCGUAAAACCCCCGACUUUCUGAACGUUGACCUCGGAUCAGGUAGGAAUACCCGCUGAACUUAAG
rnacentral:misc_RNA from 1 species